UUUGUCGUCUUACGUCUACGUAAACGCCAACCGUUCUGCGCUUUGGUAAAGGCUCGCCUAGUAUUUGUCGUGCCGCAAGAGUACUACGUUUCUGGCCGUUGUCCAUGACUGAAAGUGCUGAAGCGCUGCAGAGGCGUAUCAACUACGCCAUCGAGAACCAGAUGGCGCCACCCGAAACGAACUACAUCAGUGAGCUGCUUGCCGCAAGCUUAGCUCUGGAUAACUCCAACGAACAGCUGAGGUUGCUCGAUUACCGGUGGCAAACAUAUCUCGACAAACAGUACGUGCAGUCCCAACACUUGGACGAGUUUUUGGAAGGGUUGGUGCAGCACCUUCUGAAAAAGAAGCCUGACCGUCCGUUGGAGGAGUUGCUUCUAUAUCUCGAAUGUGAAAGAAGGCAGUAGUCGCGGUGCGUUCCAGAUACGGGGCUGAAGUCGAGUCGCAUCUCUCGUUUAUUGAAGUCUCAGUACACCCGCUCUCACCGAAGCUUGUGCCGACCUCUCCGGGUGCUGCGCUCGCAUAUGUCUGCCUUCUGCUUUUACAGUGGAACUCUGCUUUUUUCUUACCCCAGGCAAACCUUUUCAAACUGAUCAAGUACAUCGGUGCCUUGUUGACCUGCCCCGACGGCAGCGACCCAUGGUGGCUGUCUUCCGUUUUUUUUUUCUGCCUCGACUGUGUUACAAGCGGCCUGGUACAAAAGGGGAGCAGAGCAGCUCUCAGUUUUGAUUCCUUGUCAGCUGAAUGGCACAUAUAAAGGGGAAUGGGGGGGGGGACUGCAACAGUGCCUUCCAUACUGUGUGCACCGUCGACCUCUCCAUCUCGCUCGUGCUCUCCAACAGCCUCUGCGCGCACCCGCCGUCACUAUUCCCGUCUCGCCCAUUACCCUUAUUUCCUUCUGCUGGAGCUCUACCGGAGCAAG
rnacentral:misc_RNA from 1 species